rnacentral:rRNA from 1 species
UACGGAGGGUGCAAGCGUUAUCCGGAUUUACUGGGGUUAAAGGGUGCGUAGGUGGACUUUUAAGUCAGCGGUGAAAUCUCCGGGCUUAACUCGGAAAUUGCCAUUGAUACUAUUUGUCUUGAAUUAUCUGGAGGUGAGCGGAAUAUGUCAUGUAGCGGUGAAAUGCUUAGAUAUGACAUAGAACACCAAUUGCGAAGGCAGCUCACUACGGAUAUAUUGACACUGAGGCACGAAAGCGUGGGGAUCAAACAGG